GAUGAACGCUGGCGGCGUGCCUAAUACAUGCAAGUCGAGCGGACGGACCAGCAGUCUGUUUUUGUGAUGUUAUCGGCGGAUGGGUGAGUAAUGCGUGGAUAAUCUAUCUUUUUGACUGGGCUUACUUCGGGAACUCGGAGCUUAUACCUGAUAAUAUUUUGAACUGCAUGGUUCUAAAGUGAAUGACGGUCUUUCUGUUACUGAUAGAUGGAGCCGUGCUGGCUUAGCUAGUUGGUAAGGUAAUGGUAUACUACGGCAACGAUGCAUAGCCGACGUGAGAGGGUGAUCGGCGACACCGGAACUGAGACACGGUCCAGACCCCGACGGGAGGCAGCAGUAGGGGAUCGUACGCAAGGGGAGAAAGCCUGACGGAGCAGCGCCGCGUGAGUGAUGAAGGUCUUCGGAUCGUAAAACUAUGUUAUUAGGGAAGAACAUAUGUGUAAGUAACUGUGCACAUCUUGACGGUACCUAAUCAGAAAGCCACGGCUAACUACGUG
rnacentral:rRNA from 1 species